rnacentral:precursor_RNA from 1 species
UUGCCUUGGAAGCAGCUGGAGGCCAGCCGCGGUGCUCCAGGGGUUACCAAGGUGACG